rnacentral:misc_RNA from 1 species
GUGAGAUCGUAGGAAGGGGAUUUACAUUCACAGGUUAUUAUGUCUGAGAUCGUCUUCAGUAAUUUGUGGAAGGGAUAUUGACAAUGACGACUUCCCCUUUCUUUUCCGCGGGUGGUACUCCGCAUACAAUUUUUUCUUUCCUAUUAAUUGAGGAUUCUGUGAGCAACUCUGAUAGAUUAAUAAUAAUCCAAGAAUUCCGAGGGACCAUGAUG